rnacentral:rRNA from 1 species
AGAGUUUGAUCCUGGCUCAGAUUGAACGCUGGCGGCAUGCUUUACACAUGCAAGUCGAACGGCAGCGCGGGGCAACCUGGCGGCGAGUGGCGAACGGGUGAGUAAUACAUCGGAACGUACCCAGAAGUGGGGGAUAACGUAGCGAAAGUUACGCUAAUACCGCAUACGUUCUACGGAAGAAAGUGGGGGACCUUCGGGCCUCAUGCUUUUGGAGCGGCCGAUGUCUGAUUAGCUAGUUGGUGAGGUAAAGGCUCACCAAGGCGACGAUCAGUAGCUGGUCUGAGAGGACGACCAGCCACACUGGGACUGAGACACGGCCCAGACUCCUACGGGAGGCAGCAGUGGGGAAUUUUGGACAAUGGGCGCAAGCCUGAUCCAGCAAUGCCGCGUGAGUGAAGAAGGCCUUCGGAUUGUAAAGCUCUUUUGUCAGGGAAGAAACGGCUGAGGAUAAUACCUUCGGCUAAUGACGGUACCUGAAGAAUAAGCACCGGCUAACUACGUG